UUACGAUCUUCACUGAUGUGCUGAAACCCAUCCAAGACCCCAAGGCAUCUCUUGGUUAAGUUAAAUAGAAGGUGACAGCUGCUUCUUCAGCACCACAGGACUUCACUGUGUAAAGGAGCAGUGGACAGGGGAGGGGGACAGAGGAAAGUGGGCAGACAGACAGCCUGUGCCUUUCCCCAGGGGAUGCUGCUGGCCACCCGGCUCUAACAUGAAUCUCAUGAUUCUCAGAGUCGUCGCAGUUUGCCCUUGCCUUCCCAGGAAGACGGAAUUAUAAAACAACCGUAAAUAAAAUAGCAAUCCUUUGGUUUUCAAAUUUGAUUGAUAUAAACAGGGCAAAAAUAAAACAAUAUAAUCCACCAAAAUACUUAGAAAUAAAACAAUAUAAUCUAAAACUAUAUGCUUAGGACUCAUUAUAGUCAGAUGAGACAGGUAUGAUUAUCAUCCACAUCUCAGAGGAAGCAGCACAGAAGGCCUGCAGUCUCCCCAGUUAGGAGACGGAUGGGCCAGGAUGGGCCUGGGCAGUCCCACUUCUGAGCCUGCGUUAACUGCGGCCCGGCUUGGCAUCUGUAGAUGUGCAAAAGAAUAUGCUUAACAAGCAGUUUAUAAUCCCAUAUCUGGGAUUUCUACCACCAGAUUGAAGGACAGGGGCAAGUGUUUCCAGUCAGAG
rnacentral:lncRNA from 1 species